UAAUACUGGAUGUUCUGGUACGGAGUCCUUUAGUAGAGGUUGCACUGUAACAAGUCUUUGAACAUGGGCUCCAUUCGGACCAUUCUGAGGUUUGACAGUCCUUUGGAACUACACAGGACUGGAAGGAAUAUGGAGGACAGGAGAGCAGCUGAAACAUCUAGGAAAGAUUGCAGGCAAAUCCAAAUGGUGAACAUAUUCUUCACCAUCAGCACAUGUACGGAUCAUCGCUGGCCGGCUUGAAGGCUCAGUUUUCAAAGUCCAUGAGGACCUUGAUUUCAGGCAUUCCUCCACCAGUCUGCGACCUCCCCCUCUUGUUGUGGGCCAGCACAAAUACAGAUUAAAUACACAUCUUUCUGA